rnacentral:rRNA from 1 species
CAGUAGCCGCGGUAAUACGGAGGGUGCAAGCGUUAAUCGGAAUUACUGGGCGUAAAGCGUGCGUAGGUGGUGGUUUAAGUCCGUUGUGAAAGCCCUGGGCUCAACCUGGGAAUUGCAGUGGAUACUGGGUCACUAGAGUGUGGUAGAGGAUAGUGGAAUUUCCGGUGUAGCAGUGAAAUGCGUAGAGAUCGGAAGGAACAUCUGUGGCGAAGGCGACUAUCUGGGCCAACACUGACACUGAGGCACGAAAGCGUGGGGAGCAAACAGGAUUAGAGACCCCCGUAGUCCCUGUCUCUUAUAC